rnacentral:tRNA from 1 species
CGGGGACUGGCCUAAUGGUAAGGCGCUUCGUUCGGGACGAAGAGAUUGGCGGUUCGAGUCCGCCGUCCCCGACCA